AACAAAAAAGAAAAAAGCCCAAACAGAAAAGAAAAAAACCACCCCGAAACCCCACGUUCCCCAACUCUCCCUACUCUCCCCGAUUCCCAGUCGUCGCCAUCCCCGCCGCUGCAUGCCUCCCCCCUAAUCUCAACGGCCAGCGAGCCUCCCCCUUCCUCCCUCGGCCAGCGCGCCUCCCCACGGUCCAGUCCAGAUCGGCUCCAACGUGCCGCCGCCGACAUCUUCCCCUGCGUGCUGUUGCCAGGCGCUGGAUCCUGAGCGCCGCUGACGGGCCGUGGAUCCCACGCGCCGCCGCCUGUCCAUGGAUCCCGCGCACUGCCGUCGCCUCCCGAGACCACAACGCGCCACCUGGUGGCCGCCGCUGGAGACCCCCUGCCUCCUUCCUCCCCGCGUCGGGUGGGUGGUGCAGCACCGGAGCGCCGUCGAGCACAGCUGGAGAUCCCUCCUGCCUCCUUCCUCCCUGGAAUCACGUCCACGGCCACUCCAUCGCCCCCAGCACGGGCGCGCGUGAUCCAGCGGCAGCGAGCCUCUGAUGGGGGGUUUCAGGUGCAAAAAAGUUGGAUGUAGUGAUAUGUUGGUUUUCACAGGUACUCCAAAUAUUGGGAAAAAAGAGUUUUCUUCUCCCAAAUGCAUCAAAGCCGUGAAGUGCUAAUUCUUCUUGUGUGCUUCUAUAGAGCCUUGUGUUUCAGUCACCACCAUGACGAACCAGCUCGUCCUAUUUUGCAGAAGCAAGUCGCACGAUAGUUUUUAGCUGGGAUGCAGUUCAGAGGUAAUACGGAAUCAAGGUUCAGUGAGAUUUUUUUAGCACAUUCAGAGAGCUUUUUCAGUGCACUGCAGCCAAAUCCGUUCUGGAGGCCACACUGCUGACGUUUGGUUUUGAUUUUAUUUUACAAACGAAGUUGCUAGCAGUAGUAGAUCUUGGGAUUUGGGCACACAAGGAUAAGAUAUAUAAAUAAGUCGCCCUAAUGAGUUGGAGAUUGCAUGUUCGUUGCUCAGAAGGAUAAGAUCCUUUUGGUUUUAGCUAGGUUGUAGGGGACUGGGAACAUUGACGAAGGACUUCUACAUGGCGAUGUCCUGAAAGAAGGCGAACUCGUGCUCCAUCCUCGUCUACGUUUGCAACUGCCGCUCGAGGGACAGUACAGACCACCCCUGCGGCCCUCUGGUCUACGCAUCAUGUGCUACUGCUUGUGCCUGCUCGUUGCCUCCACCUCAGGGACGAAGGAAAUUUUAGCUGGUCAAGUUCAGCUCCGUGCCGGAUAAAAGGUCAUCUUGGAUGUGUGCCUGCUCGCUCCCUCCACCGUUUGAGCAUUUCUCUGAACUUUUUUCAAUGUAUGCACUACUAAAAUUUUAGUCCAGGCUUUGUACUUUAACUAAGUUCGGUACUGAAUUUUAGAGAGGUUGAGAAAAAUGAAGUUCUACUAUUUUAGUUUA